UCUACAACUAGAUUGGAGUCCACCUGUGGUAAAUUCAGUUGAUUGGACAUGAUUUGUAAAUGCACACACCUGUCUAUGUAAGGCCCCACAGUCAACAAUGCAUGUCAGAACACAAUCCAAUCCAAGCCAUGAAGUCCAAGGAAUUGUCUAGACCGCCGAGACCGGAUUGUAUCGAGCCACAGAUCUGGAGAAGGAAGUGAAUGCUUUCCGGAUACACUUGUAUAUAAUGAGUCAGAUUAUGAUUCAAACUAAAUGUCUUUUUCUUACCAUGCUCCUCUGGUGAUGUUGUACCUCAGAGACCCAGCAUGAGAAACUCGCCCAUCUCUUUGUCUGUCAUUCAGCGGAUCUUGUUUUAGACUGCUGGGAGAGAGGCCGCCAGGUUCCCACAGAGGUGUAGAGCGUUUAUCAGCUAGUGCAGCACUGCAUUCUCCAGUCAUGAGGUGCAGUAACUGAUGGCAGAUGGUGGCUGUUGGCAUUUGUACCCGGCUGGCGCCCAGACUGAGUCAUGGAAAGCUCGGUGUGAGGCACAAACAGCUCUCACUCGACACUUUAAACCAACCAUGUAGGACAAUAUCAUAACCAGACUCAAAAAAUAAUUUUUUGACAGUGGAUUAGACCAUAUAGUUUCAUAUGUCACAUAUAAGAAGAAUCAUUGUAAGGUCACCUUGGGUUGUGUUAUCUAAUGUCCUUGAAGGUGUUAGCGUCCGUUUUGCUUACUUAUUGAAUUCAAGAGCCAGACUUUUCAAGCGGAUUGCCUGUAGGACAGCAGAUCCAAAGCAGAUGAGCAGAAACGAGAUUUUUCAGGAUUCUCAGGGAACAUCAGCUUUGAGUUCUGUAUUAGCGCAGUAAAUUUCCAGUGAAUUCAUUGCUUGUCUGAGAUGUGAGAUAACCACAGCAGGUUGUAAAGUAAAUCAAACCCUGAUGUUGGUUUUGUCUGGUUGUACACUGACAAAGAGGUCAAACCCCAGGCAAAACACUGGGGAAAACGGCACCAUCCAAAGUUUCAAUAGAAAUUGAUUUAUUUAGGGCUUUUCAGAUGUUCUUUAUUUAGCGCUAGUUUGUAGUGUGCAAAUACAUCUUUCUGGAACCAAACAAAAAAGCUGA